GAGAAGCAGGCUCGAAAUUGGAUAAUUGCACACAUCGCACUUGGCAAAUUAUAAGAUCGUUGUUAGAGACCCUCGCGAUUGGCUGGCGCCUUCCCUGGGCUGGACCCGAUCCCCUCCGCGCCUACUCGCGAGUAAAGCGCUCUCUCUCUCUCUCCUUUCUCUUUUCUUUCCUUUCUCUCUCUCUUUCUUUUCUCCAGCUUUGAUGAAUCCUUUUGAUGAACUUUGAAUUCGCCUGGUCGGUGCUGGCUUCUUUCUUUUUCUCUCUCUCCUCCUUUCCUUCCUUCCUUCCUUCCUUCCUUCCUUCCUUCCUUCCUUCCUUCCUUCUUCUUUCCCCCUUCCCUUUUGGCCCCGGAGCGGGGUGUCUCCUGUCCCUUCUCUCUCUCUCUCUCUCUUUCUCUCUUUUUUCUCUCUCCUGUCCCUUUUUUCUCUCUCUUUCUCUCUUUUUCUUUCUCUUUUUCUCUCUCCUUUCUUUCUCUCUUUCUUUCUCUCUCUCUUUCUUUCUCUCUUUCUUUCUCUCUCUUCUCUCUCUCUCUCCUGUCUCUUUUCUCUCUUUUUUUUCCUCUCUCUCUCUUUUUCUCUCUUUCUUUCUCUCUCACUCUCUCUCUCUUUCUUCCCCCCCCCACCUCCAAUGGCCCAUCGCCGCCCCCACCCCGAAGUCGGCGUGGCUGGCCCAAAGAAGGAGCGCGCGACCUCCUUGGCAAAGGAUCCCGGGAUCUGCCUUAUGAAAAGUCUACUCAGGAGGAAGCCCCGACGCCGGACCGAAUGGAACGGGGGAUGGGGGGGUCUCUCGCCUCCUCCCCCGGGUCGAAGAACUGAACCGCCCGCUCUUUUUUCCCUGAAGGAAUUGCGGAGAAGGGGGUCCCACCUAGAGAUGGGGGAGAAAAGGGAAACAAAAAUGCCUUAGGAAGACGAGGGGUUUUUUUUUCCCCCGAUCCGCGGAGGAAUUGGAAUAAAAGGAAAAUCGGUUUAUAGCGUCGGAUAUUCUCCGCCGAGGGCGAAUGAGGACGCCGCUUGAUUUUCGGGCCGCCGUCGCCGUUCGGAAGAACCGUUUAACCCCGAGUCAAUGCCAAACCUUUAAGGGGAUGCCUUCCCACGAUUUACUCAAUCUGGAAUAAUGUAGAAGCGAAGGCGAAUCGCUGAUUUUAACCCAAAGCCGCCUCCGUUCGGUUGGAACUGCGGUUUAGUCCCGAGUAAACCUGGGGGGAAAUGGCCUGUCGGAAGCGACCGCGAUUUACUUGCGAGUUAAGAGCUCUUGGGAAUCUUCACUGAAAGGCAAAAGUUAACCCCAGGAGUUCAGAGGCCCCACUCUGGAUGUGCAAAGGGGAGCUUGUGAGCAGAGAAGCAACACCUGGCUGCGUUCACAAGACACGCCAGCCCAGCUCUCACGCUAGCGGAUUGGGGAAAGAGAUAAGAGAAAGAAGAACCAACAAUCCAGAACUAUCUAAUGUAAAUGGGUGGACAACAUUUUGCAGUGUAACUGGGUUUGUUUGUUUUUUUCUUAAUGGAGACCUGUAGAAUGGAAUUUUUUUUCCCCCAAAACUGGAAACCUUUUACAAAAAUAAAGUUUUUUUUUUUAAGUUGUGUCAAAUUUAAUUGGGCCAUACUGUGUUAUAAUAAUAAUUUUAAUUAGCAAUUUUAUGAUGUUUGUGUAUCUGUAUUUUUCUUGACUGUACACCGCCUUGAAUCCUACAGGAGAAAGGCGGUAUAGAAAUAUAAUAAAUAAAUAAAUA